GUCUUUUUGAUUAUAAUUUAAAGUCUAACCUGCCCACUGAAUAUUUUGAAGGGCCGCGGUAUUUUGACUGUGCGAAGGUAGCAUAAUCAUUAGUCUUUUAAUUGGAGGCUUGUAUGAAUGGUUGGAUGAGGUAUUAACUGUCUCAAUUUAAUAAAUAAUAGAAUUUUAUUUUUAAGUUAAAAAGCUUAAAUUUUAUUAAAAGACGAGAAGACCCUAUAGAUCUUUAUAAUUAAUUUUAUAAUAAUUUUUUAGAUUAAAUUUAUUUUUAUAAGAUAAAUUAUUAUAUUGGGGUGAUAAAAAAAUUUAUAAAACUUUUUUUUAUAUUAAAACAAUGAUAUUUGAUUAAUUGAUCCAUUUUUUGUGAUUAUAAGAUUAAGUUACCUUAGGGAUAACAGCGUAAUUUUUUUGGAGAGUUCAUAUCGAUAAAAAAGAUUGCGACCUCGAUGUUGAAUUAAAGGUUAAUUUUAGGUGUAGAAGUUUAAAAUUUUGGUCUGUUCGACCAUUAAAUC
rnacentral:rRNA from 1 species